rnacentral:ncRNA from 1 species
GAUCGUCGGAACUGGGUAUAGGGGCGAAAGACUAAUCGAACCAUCUAGUAGCUGGUUUCCUCCGAAGUUUCCCUCAGGAUAGCUGGCAUCCGGCCGUUCCGCACGGAACGCACGCGAGUCUCAUCUGGUAAAGCGAAUGAUUAGAGGCCUUGGGGCAGCAACGACCUCAACCUAUUCUCAAACUUUAAAUGGGCGAGAUCUCUGACUUUCUUGAACUAUGAA